rnacentral:rRNA from 1 species
AGUGGAUGGGGAGCAACCUAGUUGUGCGUGUGUAAAGGUAGUGCCAAGAAAAGCGAUGAUCAUGUUGAAAAUCAAUUCCCGGUACCCGAAACCGACACAGGUGGGCAAGUAGAGAAUACUAAGGGGCGCGAGGUAACUCUCUCCAAGGAACUCGGCAAAAUGACCCCGUAACUUGGGGAGAAGGGGUGCCACCGAGAGGUGGUCGCAGUGAGGAGGCCCAGGCGACUGUUUAGCAAAAACAUAGGUCUCUGCAAACUCGAAAGAGGAGGUAUAGGGGCUGACGCCUGCCCAGUGCCGGAAGGUUAAAGAAGUUGGUCAGUUUUAGGAUGAAGCUAGCGACUGAAGCCCCGGUGAACGGCGGCCGUAACUAUAACGGUCCUAAGGUAGCGAAAUUCCUUGUCGGGUAAGUUCCGACCCGCACGAAAGGCGUAACGAUCUGGGCGCUGUCUCGGAGAGAGGCUCGGCGAAAUAGGAUUGUCUGUGAAGAUACGGACUACCUGCAUUUGGACAGAAAGACCCUAUGAAGCUUUACUAUAGCUUGGAAUUGUGUUCGGGCUUCCUGUGCGCAGGAUAGGUGGGAGGCGUAGAAGGUAUUCUUGUGGGGAUACUGGAGCCAACGGUGAGAUACCACUCUCAGGAGGCUAGAAUUCUAACUUAAUUAAGGACAGUUUCAGGUGGGUAGUUUGACUGGGGCGGUCGCCUCCAAAAGGUAACGGAGGCGUACAAAGGUUCGCUCAGACUGGUUGGAAAUCAGUCGAAGAGUGCAAAGGCAGAAGGGAGCUUGACUGCGAGAAGUACAGUUCGAGCAGGGUGGAAACACGGUCUUAGUGAUCCGACGGUGCUGUGUGGAAGGGCCGUCGCUCAACGGAUAAAAGUUACUCUAAGGAUAACAGGCUGAUCUCCCCCAAGAGUUCACAUCGACGGGGAGGUUUGGCACCUCGAUGUCGGCUCAUCGCAACCUGGGGCGGAAGUACGUCCCAAGGGUUGGGCUGUUCGCCCAUUAAAGCGGUACGUGAGCUGGGUUCAGAACGUCGUGAGACAGUUCGGUCCAUAUCCGAUGUAGGCGUGAGAAUAUUGAGAGGAGCCUUCCUUAGUACGAGAGGACCGGGAAGGACGCACCGCUGGUGUACCUGUUAUGAUGCCAAUUGUAAACGCAGGGUAGCCAAGUGCGGAGAGGAUAACCGCUGAAAGCAUCUAAGUGGGAAGCCCACCUCAAGAUGAGUAUUCUGGUGUAAGGUCACGGGAAGACGACCCGUAAAUAGGCACGAGGUGGAAGUGCAGAGAUGUAUGAAGCCGAAGUGUACUAAUAGACCGUCGGCUUGACC